rnacentral:rRNA from 1 species
GAUGAACGCUGGCGGCGUGCCUAAUACAUGCAAGUCGAGCGAACGGACGAGAAGCUUGCUUCUCUGAUGUUAGCAGCGGACGGGUGAGUAACACGUGGAUAACCUACCUAUAAGACUGGGAUAACUUCGGGAAACCGUAGCUAAUACCGGAUAAUAUUUUGAACCGCAUGGUUCAAAAGUGAAAGACGGUCUUGCUGUCACUUAUAGAUGGAUCCGCGCUGCAUUAGCUAGUUGGUAAGGUAACGGCUUACCAAGGCAACGAUGCAUAGCCGACCUGAGAGGGUGAUCGGCCACACUGGAACUGAGACACGGUCCAGACUCCUACGGGAGGCAGCAGUAGGGAAUCUUCCGCAAUGGGCGAAAGCCUGACGGAGCAACGCCGCGUGAGUGAUGAAGGUCUUCGGAUCGUAAAACUCUGUUAUUAGGGAAGAACAUAUGUGUAAGUAACUGUGCACAUCUUGACGGUACCUAAUCAGAAAGCCACGGCUAACUACGUG